rnacentral:tRNA from 1 species
AUUUAUUUAGUAUAAAAAGUAUAUCCGAUUUCCAAUCAGAAGGUUUAAAAGUUAAAAUAAAUA